rnacentral:rRNA from 1 species
AAUGAACGCUAGCGGCAGGCCUAAUACAUGCCAGUCGAACGGGAUCCGGAUCAAAGCUUGCUUUGUUCUGGUGAGAGUGGCGCACGGGUGCGUAACGCGUGAGCAACCUACCCUUGUCAGGGGGAUAACCCGGCGAAAGUCGGAUUAAUACCGCAUGACAUCAUUGAGAGGCAUCUUUCGAUGGUCAAAGAUUUAUCGGACAAGGAUGGGCUCGCGUGACUUUGGCUAGUUGGUAAGUUAACGGCCUACCAAGGCUGGGAUUGUGAGGGGACCUGAGAGGAGGACCCCCCACAAUGGUACCGAGGCACAGACCACAACGCGACGGGGGGGAGCAGUAAGGAAUAUUGGGGAAGGGACGGAAGUCUGAACCAGCCAUGCGGCGUGCAGGAAGACGGCCCUAUGGGUUGUAAACUGCUUUUAUACGGGAACAAACGUCGGUAAGUGGACCGGUCUGAGGGUACCGUAAGAAUAAGGACCGGCUAACUCCGUG